rnacentral:pre_miRNA from 1 species
AAUAAGUGCAGUUUUGCACUAUUCAUGUUCAACGUUUGACCGUUCAUUUUAUUUGAAAUUUUUUUAUGAUUAGUAUUUUUAUUGCUAUUAGAUGAUAAAACAUGAAUAAUACUUUAUGUGUGACUAAAUAUUUUCAAGUUUUUUGAAAAAUUUUCAAAUAAGACGGACAGUCAAACGUUGAGCACGGAUAUCCACGGCUACACUUAUU